rnacentral:rRNA from 1 species
GCAGAGUUCUCGGAGUCACGAAGAGUUUGAUCCUGGCUCAGGAUGAACGCUGGCGGCGUGCUUAACACAUGCAAGUCGAACGGGAUCCAUCAGGCUUUGCUUGGUGGUGAGAGUGGCGAACGGGUGAGUAAUGCGUGACCGACCUGCCCCAUACACCGGAAUAGCUCCUGGAAACGGGUGGUAAUGCCGGAUGCUCCGACUCCUCGCAUGGGGUGUCGGGAAAGAUUUCAUCGGUAUGGGAUGGGGUCGCGUCCUAUCAGGUAGUCGGCGGGGUAACGGCCCACCGAGCCUACGACGGGUAGCCGGCCUGAGAGGGCGACCGGCCACAUUGGGACUGAGAUACGGCCCAGACUCCUACGGGAGGCAGCAGUGGGGAAUAUUGCACAAUGGGCGCAAGCCUGAUGCAGCGACGCCGCGUGCGGGAUGACGGCCUUCGGGUUGUAAACCGCUUUUGAUCGGGAGCAAGCCUUCGGGUGAGUGUACCUUUCGAAUAAGCACCGGCUAACUACGUGCCAGCAGCCGCGGUAAUACGUAGGGUGCAAGCGUUAUCCGGAAUUAUUGGGCGUAAAGGGCUCGUAGGCGGUUCGUCGCGUCCGGUGUGAAAGUCCAUCGCUUAACGGUGGAUCUGCGCCGGGUACGGGCGGGCUGGAGUGCGGUAGGGGAGACUGGAAUUCCCGGUGUAACGGUGGAAUGUGUAGAUAUCGGGAAGAACACCAAUGGCGAAGGCAGGUCUCUGGGCCGUUACUGACGCUGAGGAGCGAAAGCGUGGGGAGCGAACAGGAUUAGAUACCCUGGUAGUCCACGCCGUAAACGGUGGAUGCUGGAUGUGGGGCCCGUUCCACGGGUUCCGUGUCGGAGCUAACGCGUUAAGCAUCCCGCCUGGGGAGUACGGCCGCAAGGCUAAAACUCAAAGAAAUUGACGGGGGCCCGCACAAGCGGCGGAGCAUGCGGAUUAAUUCGAUGCAACGCGAAGAACCUUACCUGGGCUUGACAUGUUCCCGACAGCCGUAGAGAUAUGGCCUCCCUUCGGGGCGGGUUCACAGGUGGUGCAUGGUCGUCGUCAGCUCGUGUCGUGAGAUGUUGGGUUAAGUCCCGCAACGAGCGCAACCCUCGCCCUGUGUUGCCAGCACGUCAUGGUGGGAACUCACGGGGGACCGCCGGGGUCAACUCGGAGGAAGGUGGGGAUGACGUCAGAUCAUCAUGCCCCUUACGUCCAGGGCUUCACGCAUGCUACAAUGGCCGGUACAACGGGAUGCGACACGGCGACGUGGAGCGGAUCCCUGAAAACCGGUCUCAGUUCGGAUUGGAGUCUGCAACCCGACUCCAUGAAGGCGGAGUCGCUAGUAAUCGCGGAUCAGCAACGCCGCGGUGAAUGCGUUCCCGGGCCUUGUACACACCGCCCGUCAAGUCAUGAAAGUGGGUAGCACCCGAAGCCGGUGGCCUAACCCUUUGUGGAUGGAGCCGUCUAAGGUGAGACUCGUGAUUGGGACUAAGUCGUAACAAGGUAGCCGUAGUCCUGUGUGAAGUGAUCCGCUAAUCGUCGACCU